rnacentral:rRNA from 1 species
AUUGAACGCUGGCGGCAUGCUUUACACAUGCAAGUCGAACGGUAACAGGCCGCAAGGUGCUGACGAGUGGCGAACGGGUGAGUAAUGCAUCGGAACGUGCCCAGUCGUGGGGGAUAACGCAGCGAAAGCUGUGCUAAUACCGCAUACGAUCUAUGGAUGAAAGCGGGGGACCGUAAGGCCUCGCGCGAUUGGAGCGGCCGAUGUCAGAUUAGCUAGUUGGUGGGGUAAAGGCCCACCAAGGCGACGAUCUGUAGCUGGUCUGAGAGGACGACCAGCAACACUGGGACUGAGACACGGCCCAGACUCCUACGGGAGGCAGCAGUGGGGAAUUUUGGACAAUGGGCGCAAGCCUGAUCCAGCGAUGCCGCGUGCGGGAAGAAGGCCUUCGGGUUGUAAACUGCUUUUGUACGGAACGAAACGGUCUGGGUUAAUACCUCGGGCUAAUGACGGUACCGUAAGAAUAAGCACCGGCUAACUACGUGCCAGCCGCCGCGGUAA